rnacentral:rRNA from 1 species
UACGGAAGGCAGCAGUGGGGAAUAUUGCACAAUGGGCGAAAGCCUGAUGCAGCUAUGCCGCGUGUAUGAAGAAGGCCUUAGGGUUGUAAAGUACUUUCAUCGGGGAGGAAAAAACAAAACUAAUAAUUUUAUUUCUUGACGUUACCCGAAAAAGAAGCACCGGCUAACUCCGUGCCAGCAGCCGCGGUAAUACGGAGGGUGCUAGCGUUAAUCAGAAUUACUGGGCGUAAAGAGCACGUAGGUGGUUUUUUUAAGUCAGAUGUGAAAUCCCUGGGCUUAACCUAGGAACUGCAUUUUGAAACUGAAAUACUAGAGUAUCGUAGAGGGAGGUAGAAUUCUAGGUGUAGCAGUGAAAUGCGUAGAUAUCUGGAGGAAUACCUGUGGCGAAAGCGGCCUCCUAAACGAAUACUGACACUGAGGUGCGAAAGCGUGGGGAGCAAACAGGGAUUAGAUACC